CACCCCAGGACAGGGCUCCAGCUCACUGGCCGUGCCUGGGUGAGCUGGCAGUGCUUCAGGGCUGAGGGGGAUGGAGGAGGUGCUUCCCACUGUGGGAAAGCUUGGGAAGCCCUCAAGUAGGCUACUACCAAAUCUUUGGGUCAUCAGAUGGUGCUCUAGACACCUGCUGUCUCCAAAACCACCACUCAGCCUGAUUGCUGAUGCUCCUGUCUCCCUGUUCUUUGGGUGCUGGUGAGGCAGGGGCCAUGUGGAGCCUGGGGCACAUACUGUCUCUGGAGAAGCCAUGGCAGCAAAGGUGGUGGUGGCUGUGUUAGCUGAAGGUGGCUCCACAGGGCUGGCUGGGGCUGUGCUGGAUUCCCUCCUGCUUUGGUAGCACUGGCAGGUGAAGUGCCAGAAACAGU